rnacentral:rRNA from 1 species
CAGACCUUUCUGAACACCCCCAAUCCUGUCUGAUUCAACUGCUAAGCAAGUUUGGGCCUGGAUAAUACUUAGAUGAGGGACCCCAGGAGAAUGCCAUAGGUC